rnacentral:rRNA from 1 species
AAGGGAAAGAGCCCAGACCGCCGGCUAAGGUCCCCAAGUGGGUGUUAAGUGGAAAAGGAUGUGGGAUCUCUAAGACAACCAGGAUGUUGGCUCAGAAGCAGCCAUUCAUUAAAAGAGUGCGUAACAGCUCACUAGUCGAGAGGUCCUGCGCCGAAAAUGUCCGGGGCUGAAACACAACACCGAAGCUGCGGAACCCGCAAGGGUUGGUAGAGGAGCAUUCUUAAAGGAACGAAGCAGUACCGGAAGGAGCUGUGGACUUUUAAGAAGAGAGAAUGCCGGAAUGAGUAGCGAGAGUAAGGUGAGAAUCCUUGCGGCCGAAUAUCCAAGGUUUCCAGAGUAAAGCUGAUCUGCUCUGGGUAAGUCGGGGCCUAAGGAGAGGCAGAGAUGCGUAUCCGAUGGACAGCAGGUUUAAGAUUCCUGCACCCCUUGUUAUCAGAACUGCGGGGACACGGGAAGGGAAGCAGAGCCGGGAAUGGAAAGCCCGGUGCAAGCGAAGGAGUCG